GUGCUCGCUUCGGCAGCACAUAUACUAAAAUUGGACCAAUACAGAGAAGAUGAGCAUGGCCCCUGCACAAGGACGACACACAAAUUCAUGACACGUUCCAUAUUUAA
ensembl:snRNA LOC120093897 U6 spliceosomal RNA